GGAGGUUGUCGUGGAAAUUCAGUACUGAGAGAGACUUAGUAAUUUCUUCAAAUAAUCAUCUUUAUUUAAUAUUGAUUAAUUAUUGCAAUAAUGAAACCGUCAGCCCAAGAGUCUUGACUGUUGGACCGAGUGCUUGAAUCAUACAGAGAAUACUGUGUCUUUAUAUACCAAACUUAAAAGUGUUUCAAUUAUGGCUGGCUCCACCAUUCCCAGAUAGAUUGGGGGUGCACCAUGAGCCACUUUGGACUCAUCCUGUCUUUAUCUGCCCUGGCGUUAUCUUAACCCCCCGACCCUGGCCUCAUUUCCCAGGCCAGGAUGUCUAAGGACCACUGAGGCCUUUGUUCUACUCCUCUCUAUCCCAGCUAAACAUACACCAUAUCUUGUCUAUGGAAUGCAGGCUCAAUCAGACCAGAGACAUAUGUCUCACAUGCACCACUAAUCAUAGAAUGGAAUGUGGAUAUUUGGUUUCUUAUCACCGAGACAUCAAUCAGUUGUCAGCUUCAAGCCAUUUCUAGUAAAAACCCAUGUACUUGACACCCAGACUAGCUGCAGGAAGCUGGAGUUGACACCAUAAAACUCAACAUUAGCAGGACGGAAAUACCUUACUGUUUGUUAAGUAAAUAAAAAUGAAAUAUCCACCAAAUAAGGUGAAUACAUAAUAUUUCUAUCACAAGGUCCAUUUGUAAGAACCAACUAUCAGAACCUAACCAGAACCAGACCAUUACAUCCAGAUGUCCUGCUCAAAAUGAAUUAUUGCAUUUGUUUGCAUUUUCCCCCUGGAUCUGAUUUACGUUAGCAUUUUGCAUGGUAUGUCAAAUUAUGGAUUACUACCUUUUCUCAAUGAGGUUAAACCUCCCUGAAAUAACUGAACCAAGGCCGGGGGCCUGUUUUUUAAUCAGAAUGCACAUUGGCAGUAUGGCGGAAUGGCACCCCAAUUCUUCAUGGCAUCACCAUUCAGUGGAAAACAAUAAGAUGUACACUACCGUUCAAAAGUUCGUGAUCACUUAGAAAUGUUCUUGUUUUUGCCCAUUAAAAUAACAUCAAAUUGAUCAGAAAUAAUGUAGACAUUGUUAAUGUUGUAAAUGACUAUUGUAGCUGGAAACAACAGAUUUUUUAUGGAAUAUCUACAUACAGUAGGCGUACAGAAGCCCACUAUCAGUAACCAGCACUCCUGUGUUCCAAUGGCAUGUUGUGUUAGCUUAUCCAAGUUUAUCAUUUUAAAAGGCUAAUUGAUCGUUAGAAAACUUUUUUGCAAUUAUGUUAGCACAGCUGAAAACAGUCCUUCUUUAGACUAGUUGAGUAUCUGGAGCAUCAGCAUUUGUGGGUUCAAUUGCAGGCUCAAAAUGACCAGAAACAAACAACUUUCUUCUGAAACUUGACAGUCUAUUAUUAUUCUGAGAAAUGAAGGCUAUUCCAUGAGGGAAAUUGCCAAGAAACUGAAGAUCUCGUACAACGCUGUGUACUACUCCCUUCACAGAACAGAGCAAACGGGCUCUAACCAGAAUAGAAAGAGGAGUGGGAGGCCCCGGUGCACAACUGAGCAAGAGGACAAGUACAUUAGAGUGUCUAGUUUGAGAAACAGACGCCUCACAAGUCCUUAACUGCCAGCUUCAUUAAAUAGUACCCGCAAAACACCAGUCUCAAUGUCAACAGUGAAGAGGCGACUCCAGGAUGCUGGCCUUCUAGGCAGAGUUGCAAAGAAAAAUCCAUAUCUUCGACUGACCAAUAAAAUAAAAUAUUAAGAUGGGCA
ensembl:lncRNA